rnacentral:rRNA from 1 species
AUGGCCGAGGCUGUACUUCUUGCUGUGACGAAGAUUGGUUGCAUUUUAGGAGAUGAAGUCAUCAAGGCCAUCAUAUCUGAGCUCUCCGUAAAAGUUACUAAUCUGAAGGAACUGCCGGUAAAGGUUGAGCAAAUAAGAAAGCAACUGACUAUGAUGAGUAAUGUAAUAAUGCAGAUAGAUACUGUAUACCUCAUUGACAAAGGUGUCAAGAAUUGGAUUGGGGAAGUCCGCAACGUGGCCUACCAUGUUGAAGAUGUAAUGGAUAAAUAUUCAUACCACAUACUUAAACAUAGGGAACAAAGUCGCCUGAAGAAAAUAUUGAAAAUAAAAGAUUAUGCAGUUUUCAGUCAAAUUGCGGAUGAGGUAGUUGUGGUAGAGGAGGAGAUUGAGCAAGUUAUAAAGUUGAAAGAACGGUGGUUGCAACCCUUCCAGCUUGUCCCUGACCCACUUACUGAGAUGGAAAGACGGUGGUCCCAGGACAGCUUCCCUGAAUUUGUCAAAGAUCAAGAUCUAGUAGGAAUUGAAGAAAACAGGAUAUUGCUGACCAGAUGGCUGGACACCGAAGAGACGGAGAACAAUGUGAUAACAGUAUCAGGCAUGGGCGGGUUGGGAAAAUCUACAUUGGUUUCAAAUGUUUAUGAACGGGAAAAGAUCAAGUUCCCUGCAAAUGCAUGGAUCGUUGUGUCACAAAUUUACACUGUUGAUGCUCUGUUGAGGAAGAUACUAUGGAAGAUUGGAUACACCGAAAAACCAUUGUCAGCAGGCAUGGACAAAAUGGACAUAUAUGACAUGAAAAAGGAAAUAGAGAAGAGACUUGAAAAUAGAAAAUAUCUGAUUGUACUGGAUGAUGUCUGGGAGCCAGAGGUAUACUUCCAAAUAUCUGAUGCUUUCCCGAAUCUCCAAGGAAGCCGCAUCAUCAUUACGACACGGAAGGACCAUGUUGCAGGAAUUUCUUCUCCGACCCGUCACCUUGAGCUCCUGCCAUUGAGUAAUCCUGAUGCAUUUAAGCUCUUCUGUAGAAAGGCUUUUCACAACAUGAAGGAUCACACAUGCCCCGAGGAUCUCGAGACAACUGCUACUUCUAUUGUUGAAAAGUGUCAUGGCCUGCCUCUAGCAAUUGUUACCAUUGGCAGCAUGUUGUCUUCAAGACAAAAAUUAGAUGUUUAUAAACAAACGUACAAUCAGCUUGGACACGAGUUGUCAAACAAUGAUCAUGUCCGAGCAAUUUUAAAUCUGAGCUACCAUGACCUUUCAGACGAUCUCAGAAACUGCUUCUUGUACUGCAGUCUCUUCCCUGAAGACUACCCCAUGUCACGUGACACCCUUGUGAGGCUGUGGGUUGCGGAAGGCUUUGUGCCGAGUAAGGGAAAGAACACGCCAGAGAUGGUAGCUGAGGGAAAUCUCAUGGAGCUGGUCCACCGCAAUAUGCUUGAGGUGGUGGAGUAUGAUGAGCUUGGCAGGGUCAGCCUCUGUAAGAUGCAUGAUAUUAUGCGUGAACUGGCUAGUUCUGUUGCUAAAGAAGAGAGAUUUGCUUCAACAGAUGAUUACGACACAAUGAUGGAUAUUCGUCGUCUGUCAUCAUGUGAAUGGAAAGAGGACACUGCACUGAAAGCUAAACUUUCACAUCUUCGAACAGUAGUGUCAGUAAUUCCAUCCUCGCCUGACAUGCUAUCAUCAAUUUUAUCUGCAUCGAACUACCUUACUGUUCUUGAGCUGCAAGACUCUGAAAUAACUGAAGUGCCAAAAUCGAUUGGGUCUCAGUUCAAUCUGCGUUACAUCGGGUUACGGCGCACCAAGGUCAAGGCACUUCCGGACACUAUUGAGCAUUUGUCUCGCCUCCACACCCUCGACAUCAAGCAAACCAAAAUAGAGAAGCUACCACGAGGGCUUUUCAAGAUCAAGAAGCUGCAACAUCUUUUCGCCGAUAGAUUUGUUGAUGAGAAGCAGGUGGAGUUUCGGUACUUUAAUGGAAUGCAAGCACCUAAAGAGCUGUCCAACUUGCAAGAACUGCAAACUCUUGAGACCGUGGAAUCCAGCAAUGACUUGGCCGAGCAGCUGAAGAAACUGAUGCAACUAAGAAGUUUGUGGAUUGAUAACAUUAGUGCCGCUGAGUGUGCAAAUCUGUUUGCUACCCUUUCGAAUAUGCCACUUCUUUCAAGCUUGCUUCUUUGUGCAAGGGAUGAGAAUGAGGCACUUUGCUUUGAGGCUCUCCAACCAAGGUCUACAGAUCUACACAAGUUGAUUAUCAGAGGGAAAUGGGCCAAGGGGACACUAAAUUGCCCGAUAUUUCUCAAGCAUGGGACACAUCUCAAGUAUCUAGCUCUAAGCGGGUGUCACCUUGUGGAAGAUCCACUGGAGAUGCUCGCCCGGCACAUGCCAAACCUAACGUAUCUGAGACUUAACAACAUGCAUGGUGCAAGCACUCUGGCUCUUUCUGCAAAUUCCUUUCCAAACCUGAAGACACUUAUCUUAAGGUGCAUGCAUGAUGUCAGUGAGCUAAACAUCAGUGAGGACGCUCUUCCAUGCGUUGAAGGUCUGUAUAUUAUCUCGCUGCCGAAGCUUGACAAGGUCCCUCAAGGCAUUGAAUCCCUUCGCUCCCUUAAGAAGCUCACACUGCAGUGCUUGCACACGGAUUUCAGAAGCCAAUGGGACACUAACGGAAUGCAUCAGAAGACACUGCAUGUUCCAGAGGUUCGUGUCUAG